rnacentral:rRNA from 1 species
AUUGAACGCUGGCGGCAGGCCUAACACAUGCAAGUCGAGCGGAUGAAGAGAGCUUGCUCUCUGAUUCAGCGGCGGACGGGUGAGUAAUGCCUAGGAAUCUGCCUGGUAGUGGGGGACAACGUUUCGAAAGGAACGCUAAUACCGCAUACGUCCUACGGGAGAAAGUGGGGGAUCUUCGGACCUCACGCUAUCAGAUGAGCCUAGGUACGAUUAGCUAGUUGGUGAGGUAAAGGCUCACCAAGGCGACGAUCGUUAACUGGUCUGAGAGGAUGAUCAGUCACACUGGAACUGAGACACGGUCCAGACUCCUACGGGAGGCAGCAGUGGGGAAUAUUGGACAAUGGGCGAAAGCCUGAUCCAGCCAUGCCGCGUGUGUGAAGAGGGUCUUCGGAUUGUAAAGCACUUUAAGUUGGGAGGAAGGGCAGUAAGUUAAUACCUUGCUGUUUUGACGUUACCGACAGAAUAAGCACCGGCUAACUUCGUGCCAGCCGCCGCAGUAAGAC